rnacentral:misc_RNA from 1 species
GAUGAAGAACGUAGCGAAAUGCGAUAAGUAAUGUGAAUUGCAGAAUUCAGUGAAUCAUCGAAUCUUUGAACGCACAUUGCGCCCGCCAGUAUUCUGGCGGGCAUGCCUGUUCGAGCGUCAUUACAACCCUCAGGCCCCCGGGCCUGGCGUUGGGGAUCGGCGGAGCCCCCCGUGGGCACACGCCGUCCCCCAAAUGCAGUGGCGGUCCCGCCGCAGCUUCCAUCGCGUAGUAGCUAACACCUCGCGACUGGAGAGCGGCGCGGCCACGCCGUAAAACACCCAACUCUUCUGAAGUUGACCUCGAAUCAGGUAGGAAUACCCGCUGAACUUAAGCAUAUCAAUAAACGGAGGA